GACGAACGCUGGCGGCGUGCUUAACACAUGCAAGUCGAACGGAAAGGCCCUGCUUUUGUGGGGUGCUCGAGUGGCGAACGGGUGAGUAACACGUGAGUAACCUGCCCUUGACUUUGGGAUAACUUCAGGAAACUGGGGCUAAUACCGGAUAGGAGCUCCUGCUGCAUGGUGGGGGUGGGAAAGUUUCGGGGGUUGGGGAUGGACUCGCGGCUUAUCAGCUUGUUGGUGGGGUAGUGGCUUACCAAGGCUUUGACGGGUAGCCGGCCUGAGAGGGUGACCGGCCACAUUGGGACUGAGAUACGGCCCAGACUCCUACGGGAGGCAGCAGUGGGGAAUAUUGCACAAUGGGCGGAAGCCUGAUGCAGCAACGCCGCGUGCGGGAUGACGGCCUUCGGGUUGUAAACCGCUUUCGCCUGUGACGAAGCGUGAGUGACGGUAAUGGGUAAAGAAGCACCGGCUAACUACGUG
rnacentral:rRNA from 1 species